rnacentral:rRNA from 1 species
GUAGGGAAUAUUGGGCAAUGGAGGCAACUCUGACCCAGCCAUGCCGCGUGCAGGAAGACGGUCCUCUGGAUUGUAAACUGCUUUUGAAUGGGAAGAAACGUAGCUUUGCGAAGCUAUUUGACGGUACUAUUAGAAUAAGCACCGGCUAACUCCGUGCCAGCAGCCGCGGUAAUACGGAGGGUGCAAGCGUUAUCCGGAUUUAUUGGGUUUAAAGGGUGCGUAGGCGGCUUUAUAAGUCUGGGGUUAAAGGCGGCAGCUUAACUGUACGCAUGCCCUGGAAACUGUGAAGCUUGAGUGACUUGGAGGUAGCUAGAAUUCCCUGUGUAGCGGUGAAAUGCAUAGAUACGGGGAGGAAUACCGAUUGCGAAGGCAUGUUACUACGAGUAAACUGACGCUGAUGCACGAAAGCGUGGGGAUCAAACAGGAUUAGAUACCCUUGUAGUCC